AGACCUCAGCUCAUAGGUGACAGGUGUUUCUGAUUACACCAGAUGAGAUAUAUGGAGUGCUGAAGGGUGAAAAGAAGAUGGAAAAGCUCCUGAUAAAGAGGAAAUAAAGCUGGAUGAGGAUUAUCUCAAAAGGUCAUUGCUGAAAAAGAUGACUCCCUAAAAUCAUGAUGAAAAGUUACUCUAACUGCUGUGCUUUGUUGGAAGACUUCUUGAGGGUAUCACCAUGACUAUGGCUGCUGCUGCUGCUUGUUUGUGUUGUAGACUUACCCUUACUGCAAGAAUAUUUGGGAAAAGGCAGAGAAAAAUUGUAUGAAGUUACCUAUGAACAAGGAUAGGAGCUGCAGUGUGAUUCUGCUCCAGAAAGGCACCCCAUGAGAAGUGAGGAAAUGAACCCAGUCUAAUAGCAAGGGGUGCAUUUUCGGCUGCUUGAGUUCUGGGACUGAUCCACAGAGCUUCAGGGAAGAUACGACUGAAAAUUUCUAAGUCCGUCCAGAAAAAACCAGCCAUAUAAAACCCACUCUGGUUCCCUGCAAGAAGAAAAUACUGCGACAUCUCCAAGUCUAUUGAUUUAUUUCCAUAAAGCUAUGAUUUUUACUUGAUUGCAUAAAGUCCAGUUUAGUGGGAUCACUGUCGUAUAUAUAAGCCAUUAUAAGUCAUUUUUUUCUUUUUGGCAAAAAUAUUCUUAUCCCCGUGAUCAGCAAAGAAAGGAUGGGAUAUCUGAACUUGGGCACUCAAAAGACAUCAAAGCCAGGAAUCAACUAAAAUUACUUGCAUUUUGUUAUUUUUAGUCAGUGGGUGGCCAGGCUCAUCAUAUUUAAAGGGCUGUUAAUAACAAUUUUGAUUUGGGCCUGUAAAAUAUUUAUUGGUGUUUGGUGGUUGUUUAUAAAUCUUAAGAGAGAUAUUUUUAUGAUUUAAAAAUGAAAUAGAAAUAUGACAGACAUUUCUCAAAAAUGUUUUUUAUAAUUCCUGUGGUAUUGGAACGACAUGUGCAAACCAUAAGGAUAUGAUUUGAUUAUUUUAUGUUUGGUUAUCCAAAUGCUCAAGCAAAUAAACAG
rnacentral:lncRNA from 7 species